rnacentral:rRNA from 1 species
GACAGAGGUGCCGAGCGUUAGGCGGAAUCACUGGGCUUAAAGCGUGUGUAGGCGGGCCGUUAAGUAUCUUGUGAAAUCCUCCGGCUUAACCGGAGAAUUGCCUGGGAUACUGGCGGUCUUGAGGGAGGUAGGGGCACGCGGAACUUCCGGUGGAGCGGUGAAAUGCGUUGAUAUCGGAAGGAACGCCGGUGGCGAAAGCGGCGUGCUGGCCCUCUUCUGACGCUGAGGCGCGAAAGCCAGGGGAGCGAACGGG